rnacentral:ncRNA from 1 species
UCCACCGUGAGGUGGAAUCUGAAGGAAGUCGGCGGCAAAGCUCUGGUCUGAGGAAUACGAACUACAUAUGAGGCAUGCGUAAUGCUGGGUGAACUGGCCGAACAAAGUAAAGCCCAAAACUAUCCGAAGCAUACGGUGUAAAUGUAGCAGAUGUAUGGAGUGAAAGUAAACGCU